AAGACGCGGGAAAGGAAGUCAAGCAUUAAACGAAGAUGGCUAAACGGGGCAUCACAUGCGUUGCGCGGCUCUGUGGUGUUCUAACACCGGCAAUUCCAGUUCUCCGAAGUUUUUCAGGUUUCCUAAUGACAGCAGGCAUGGAUGCCACAUCAAAGGGGCAUUGUUGACAAAGUGAAACAACAGCCACUUUCCCUGGCAGGUGAUGGCAGGCGUGACACACCCGGUCAUUCUACUGACUUUGGUACAUAUACUUUACUGGACACUACUAUAAAGUGCUGCUCAUGGAACUUGUCAAGGUCAGUCGCAGCAUGGCACCCUGAGAGAGGAACGAAGGCCCAGCGCCCAUGCAAGCAGCACGGCCUUGCAUCAAAAGUUGUCUCCAUAAUCAGGUGUUUUCACGAUUGAGUUUUAAAGCAAAAGUCUUUACCAACGUAAAGCCGAGGCCACUUUGAGUUUUUUUUUUGUUUCAGCACCAUUAGGCUUUGAUAUAGAAGCUGGUUUUUUUUCACUGUAGUAAGAAGUUUGAUGUUUAUGUUUGGUUUUCAUGU